rnacentral:rRNA from 1 species
UACGGAGGGUGCGAGCGUUGUCCGGAAUCACUGGGCGUAAAGGGCGCGUAGGUGGCGCGGGCAGUCAACGGUGAAAGUUCGGGGCUCAACCCUGAAUCGGCCGUCGAUACUCCCGGGCUUGAGCACUGUAGAGGCAGAUGGAAUUCCGGAUGUAGCGGUGGAAUGCGUAGAGAUCCGGAAGAACACCGGUGGCGAAGGCGGUCUGCUGGGCAGUAGCUGACACUGAGGCGCGACAGCGUGGGGAGCAAACAGG